ensembl:lncRNA
AUACAAGGCAACCUGAAACGAAGACGUCCAAUCAGAACACAUUUAUAGUUUAGUAGAGCAUUAAUUUGGACCAAUGAGAUUUCACUGUGGGCGUGGCUUCCCGGCGUACCGCAAUACAUAGUGGCCCUGUCCCAAAUGGCGCACUUCAUGUGGACUUUCGGUCUCGUGGACUUAAAUUGCGCGUGCUCGCCGAGUCUACGAGUCCGUAGCGGUCCGUAAGCCAUCCCAUUCAGCAUUUUAACGCUCUGAAGUGUGCUCAGCAGCGCCUCCUUUGUACCCUUGAAGCGGUCUCCCGCGAAGCCCGCAUAGAUGCAGGCUCCGCACACUUUAACUACCCAGGAAUCCUUGCGAAAUGCCAAUCAGACAACGGAUGGGAGGAGAUUUCGCUCAAAGCAAUUGAUGACAUGGCUGAGAAGAAAAUAUUUAAGUAAAUAUUCCCUUAGCAAGCAAAGGCAGCUGUGAAAGGAAGUUGUGGCAGAGGGAAUCACACAUUGACGACCCACCCAUAUGAUGUAAAUUGUGGUUGAUCUGGAGCACUGAACCCUCAUGUCACAAUGGGAGUUCCUGUCACAUUACUGACAAAAGAAAACAAAAGAGGUCACAGUAAAUUACAUGUUAAAGAUCCCCAGACACAGAAGGGACAUGCUGACAUCAUGCAGAUGAAUGAUGAGAGAGGUAUGUAAUUAACUACAGUAUAUUGGAAGUCAUACCCUGAGCCUUUUAUGGUCUGCUAGAGGGAGACCUCAGGAGACACGACCAACGGCAACACUAUCAGACUCUCCCGAGUUGUUUGAAGGUAACUUAAAAUCAACAUUAUUUACUUUCUUAACCCAAAAUCCUGGGCCCAUAUUUGUGAAAAAUCUUAGUGCUAAGAGUUGUGUCUCCUUGUAAGAAAAUUCUUAGAAAUGUGGGUGUUUCCUCUUAGAAUGAAAAAAAAGAUCCUAGUAAAGAAAAAAGUAAUUCAGAAAGCACCUUAACCCUUAAAAGAGCUCUUAAGGUCCAAAAUUGUUAGGAGUACUGACGAAGACUUUUAAGAGGCUUAAGAGUUUCUUAAGCAGUAGAGAAAAUCAAUGACACCUGACGAGGGAGAAGAAAUGCAUAUUUGCACACAAUGCAUAAG